rnacentral:rRNA from 1 species
CGCGUAGGCGGCCGAGCGGGUCGUGGGUGAAAUCCUCCAGCUUAACUGGAGAACUGCUUACGAUACCACUGCGGCUCGAGGAAGGAAGGGGCAAUCGGAACUGUCGGUGGAGCGGUGAAAUGCGUUGAUAUCGACAGGAACGCCGGUGGCGAAAGCGGAUUGCUGGUCCUUUUCUGACGCUGAUGCGCGAAAGCCAGGGGAGCAAACG